rnacentral:rRNA from 1 species
AGUGAACGCUGGCGGUAGGCCUAACACAUGCAAGUCGAACGGCAGCACAGUAAGAGCUUGCUCUUACGGGUGGCGAGUGGCGGACGGGUGAGGAAUACAUCGGAAUCUACUUUUUCGUGGGGGAUAACGUAGGGAAACUUACGCUAAUACCGCAUACGACCUACGGGUGAAGUCAGGGGAUCUUCGGACCUUGCGCGAUUGAAUGAGCCGAUGUCGGAUUAGCUAGUUGGCGGGGUAAAGGCCCACCAAGGCGACGAUCCGUAGCUGGUCUGAGAGGAUGAUCGGCCACACUGGAACUGGGAAACGGUCCAGACUCCUACGGGAGGCGGCAGUGGGGAAUAUUGGACAAUGGGGGCAAGCCUGAUCCAGCCAUACCGCGUGGGUGAAGAAGGCCUUCGGGUUGUAAAGCCCUUUUGUUGGGAAAGAAAAGCAGCAGGUUAAUACCCCGCUGUUCUGACGGUACCCAAAGAAUAAGCACCGGCUAACUUCGUG